AUUGAACGCUGGCGGCAGGCUUAACACAUGCAAGUCGAGCGAGCGGCGGACGGGUGAGUAAUGUCUGGGACACUGCCUGAUGGAGGGGGAUAACUACUGGAAACGGUAGCUAAUACCGCAUACCCUCAGAUGUGCCCAGAUGGGUUUAGCUAGUAGGUGGGGUAAUGGCUCACCUAGGCGACGAUCCCUAGCUGGUCGGCGAGGAUGACCAGCCACACUGGAAUUGAGCCACGGUCCAGACUCCUACGGGAGGCAGCAGUGGGGAAUAGUGCACAAUGGGAGCAAGCCUGAUGCAGCCAUGCCGCGUGUGGGAAGAAGGCCUGCGGGUUGGAAAGCACUUUCAGCGAGGAGGCGUUACUCGCAGAAGAAGCACCGGCUAACUCCGUGCCAGCAGCCGCGGUAAUAC
rnacentral:rRNA from 1 species